UAGUUGUCAUAAUAUCAGUCUGUCUUUGAGAUGGAGUCUUCAGAACUCUUCUACUUAUUCUGGGUCUGCUGGGGAACCUAGAGGCCAGAGAUUGUCCCUGGGGCUUCAUAGCCAAAGGGAGAACACUGUGUGUUGAUAUAGAUGAGUGUAAAGAGUGGGACAGUAACCCACCCUGUGGAAGUAAUGCCGCAUGUUACAACACACAGGGGAGCUUCUACUGUCACUGUCUACCUGGGUUCAUAUCCACAACGACUGUCCAGUUUACUGCUCUCACUGGGGAGUGUAAGGACCUCGAUGAGUGUCAGGGGAAACUACAGGUUUGUACCAGCAAUGCCAUUUGCCUCAACACCAUCGGGAGCUUCAACUGCCAAUGCCAAC